GAAUUAUAAAACUACUCUUUUUUGAACAAAAUGACAUCCCUAUUAAAAAAAACAAGUUUGUAAAUGCCUAUGUCAGAUUUAAAAAAAUGAAAAGUUUAAUGAAUUCUUAUCUUUUAAACCAUUCCGAAAAAUCCUAUCUACUAAUCCUGUGAAUCUUCAACAAAAUCAAGUGAUAACUUUGUUACUAAAUUUGCUUUACACUUAAACGAGGGACGACACAUUAUAAUAAACUAUUCCAAGACACUUAAACACUAUGUAGGAGACCUGUGAAUGAUGAAACCCCAAUACAAUAAAAUGGACUAUCAUUUAAAAUCAAUAUGUCAAACAUCAAAUAAACAAAACAAUAAUAGUAUAGAAACAAAUGGAAUUAAAAAUAUUAAAGUGCAUGUAAAAUUGUUCAGACUAUAAACAUGUCCAAGAGCUAGGUAUUAGCAGUGAUGUAAAUACAAGAUAUACAGCCAUUCUCUUGAACAAUAUAUACA